GGACCGGCACCGCGCGUGCGUAGAGCUGUCAGCCGCACCCAGGCCGCGCUUCUAGCAAAGUUGCAAAGCAACGGGCAGACCUGUCAGAACGGUGAAGAUCCCGGCGAUGGAAAAAAGGCGAAACUGCUCCGCGUAGGCUGCUCGGAGUGGCAUCGCACCUUGUUCGAGUCCGAAGAAGUUCCCGCUUCUCUAAGCCGGCUGAAGGGAUGCGAGUCUCCUCUUGUCCCAACGGGACUGUGUCCUGACACAGAGUGGACUCCGCCCCAAGAGUGCGAGCGUCCUGAGCGUUCAGGGCAUCCUGAGCCGCGGAAGGCAUCCGGCCACACCCCGCUCUUUACCCGCCAACGCCAGCCCAGGUGGCCAGGCUCAGAAUGGACUGUGAGCCUGUGUGUUAUGCAUCUCUGGUUGUAGAGACAAAAGGACAAAGAUGGAACCCACCAAGGAUGCUCCCGGCUGAAUGAAUUGUUGUUCUCUGGCUUACACAAAGUCAAGCGAAUGAUCGUCCCAUGUUAUGUAAUAUAGCAACGGCCUGCUUACCUUACUCCUUUAAUCUACGUUAUUCUGGAAAGUAACACUUGAAAUAAAAAGUAGAUACAUUCUACUGGGAAUGUGACCCUCAGAGAAGGAAAGAAAGACCGAGGGGUUGAACCUGAACACGUGAAAGAGAAUCCAAGGUAAUUGGGGAAGCAUUGUCAAGAGCUCACUAGCUAUUUAAGAAAAAAGCAUCCCAUGUAUCUUAAUAAAUUUUGUCUGAUUGAUGGCUUUUUGAUGGGCCAGAGAGGAGUGAGAGAGAGCCAGAGAGACACAGAGACAGGCAGACAGACAGCAAGGAGGAGUUUUCUUCUCUAUCAGCAGCUAUCUCUGUGUGAGGGUUUCUCCCUUCAAAUGUCAAUUCUGCCAUCCCUGUAGGGAACCUGCUUGGUACUGCCACAUCAGAGAAGCCUCGGGUAAGGAGACUGGAUGCUUGGAAUCAUGGAUACUCAGAGCACUGUUAACAAAGAGCAGAGUCCAGUCUUCCAGAGUCAUGACCUGAAUCCAAAGUUGAAAAGAUCUGAGCAGUGUAUAAACAGCCUGUCAUAACCUGCAUAAUACAUUUUUAGUCCUGAAUAAAUCUAUUCACACUUCUUUCUAUAAUCAUACUUAUGUAGAUAAGGUUGGCAGGAGGAAGGUGAAGUAUAUUUGAAGGUAUAUGUUUAUAACAGCUUUAACCUCAAGUCAUGUUUAUUUAUAAGAGAAAACGACAGUGGAAUUUGGAAAAUUAAGAAAUGAUUCUUACCAGACAGUGGUGGCACACACCUUGAAUCCAGCACUUGGGAGAUGGAGGCAGGUAGUUCUCCAAUUUUGAGGACAGUCCAGUCUACAGAGUGCGUCAGAGGACAAUCACAGGACCACGUAGAGGAAUUUUAUCUCGAAAGAUUGAAAAAGUAAAGCCUGAUUCUACUCAAAAUGUUUGAGCAGUAGGGAGAGUGUCAGAUAUCUGGUCUCACACAGUCUCAUGAACAGCUGCUUUGGGGGAAGGGCCGAAGGAAGAAAACUCUCGUGUGAGCUUUAUAAAUUCUCGCCAUAGACUUUCCCUAAGAGACUCUUUCCUGUUCUCGUGAUGCACUAAUGACAGAAAUCAUAUGACUAAUGGAGAGAAACUGGUAGAUAUACAAGAAGAACUGCAUUGGGAUAACCGCCAUCUUACAAAGGGUCAGUGUUAACAUUUGUCAAUGUAUCCUGUGAUGAGUCAUUCAACUUGGUACAUGUUGAGUUCUAUAGAGUACAUGACACUCUUAUGCCUGUGAGCAAGCCAUAAUGUAAAAUAAUUCAUCC